rnacentral:rRNA from 1 species
ACUCCUACGGGAGGCAGCAGUGGGGAAUAUUGGACAAUGGGGGCAACCCUGAUCCAGCAAUGCCGCGUGUGUGAAGAAGGCCUGCGGGUUGUAAAGCACUUUCAGUAGAGAAGAAAAGCCUAGGGUUAAUACCCCUGAGUCUUGACGUUACCUACAGAAGAAGCUCCGGCUAACUCCGUGCCAGCAGCCGCGGUAAUACGGAGGGAGCGAGCGUUAAUCGGAAUUACUGGGCGUAAAGCGCACGUAGGCGGCUUUGUAAGUCGGAUGUGAAAGCCCCGGCUUGAACCUGGGAAUGGCAUUCGAUACUGCAGAGCUAGAGUAUGGUAGAGGGAAGUGGAAUUUCCGGUGUAGCGGUGAAAUGCGUAGAUAUCGGAAGGAACACCGGUGGCGAAGGCGACUUCCUGGGCCAAUACUGACGCUGAGGUGCGAAAGCGUGGGUAGCAAACAGGAUUAGAUACCCUGGUAGCUACGAGU